GAUGAACGCUAGCUACAGGCUUAACACAUGCAAGUCGCGGGGCAGCAUGGGGGUUGCUUGCAAUCCCCGAUGGCGACCGGCGCACGGGUGAGUAACGCGUAUCCAACCUGCCCUUCACCACGGGAUAACCCGGCGAAAGUCGGACUAAUACCGUAUGUUGUCCAUUGACGGCAUCCGAUUUGGACGAAAGGUUUGGCGGGGAAGGAUGGGGAUGCGUCCGAUUAGCUGGACGGCGGGGUGACGGCCCACCGUGGCGACGAUCGGUAGGGGUUCUGAGAGGAAGGUCCCCCACACUGGAACUGAGACACGGUCCAGACUCCUACGGGAGGCAGCAGUGAGGAAUAUUGGUCAAUGGGCGUAAGCCUGAACCAGCCAAGUAGCGUGCAGGAUGACGGCCCUAUGGGCUGUAAACUGCUUUUAUGCGGGGAUAAAGUGGCCCACGUGUGGGUUUUUGCAGGUACCGCAUGAAUAAGGACCGGCUAAUUCCGUG
rnacentral:rRNA from 1 species